AGUGAACGCUGGCGGCGUGCUUAACACAUGCAAGUCGAACGAGAACGGAUUAUAGCUUGCUAUAAUUGUCAGCUAAGUGGCGCACGGGUGAGCAAUGUAUAGGUAAUAUGCCUCUUACUAAGGGAUAACAAAUGGAAACGUUUGCUAUUACCUUAUACUCCUUAUUAACCUAAGUUAAUAAGGGAAAGAUUUAUUGGUAAGAGAUUAGCCUGUAUUGUAUCAGUUAGUUGGGGGGGUAAUGGCCUACCAAGACUAUGACACAUAACUGGUUUGGGAGGAUGAUCAGUCACACUGGAACUGAGACACGGUCCAGACGCCUACGGGAGGCAGCAGUGAGGAAUCUUCCGCAAUGGGCGAAAGCCUGACGGAGCGACACCGCGUGAAGGAUGAAGCCGGUUUCCGGUGUAAACUUCUGUUCUGAGGGACGAAAUUUUUGACGGUACCUCAGGAGAAAGCAUCGGCUAAUUCUGUGCCAGCCGCCGCCGUAAAAC
rnacentral:rRNA from 1 species